rnacentral:rRNA from 1 species
AGUGAACGCUGGCGGCAGGCCUAACACAUGCGAGUCGAACGGAAGCACAGUAAGAGCUUGCUCUUACGGGUGGCGAGUGGCGGACGGGUGAGGAAUACAUCGGCAUCUACUUUUUCGUGGGGGAUAACGUAGGGAAACUUACGCUACUACCGCAUAUGACCUACGGGUGAAAGCAGGGGAUCUUCGCACCUUGCGCGAUUGAAUGAGCCGAUGUCGGAUCAGCUAGUUGGCGGGGUAAAGGCCCACCAAGGCGACGAUCCGUAGCUGGUCUGAGAGGAUGAUCAGCCACACUGGAACUGAGACACGGUCCAGACUCCUACGGGAGGCAGCAGUGGGGAAUAUUGGACAAUGGGCGCAAGCCUGAUCCAGCCAUACCGCGUGAGUGAAGAAGGCCUUCGGGUUGUAAAGCCCUGUUGUUGGGAAAGAAAAGCAGCAGGUUAAUACCCGGCUGUUCUGACGGUACCCAAAGAAUAAGCACCGGCUAACUUCGUG